rnacentral:rRNA from 1 species
CACGGGGGGAGCAAGCGUUGUUCGGAAUCACUGGGCGUAAAGGGCGUGUAGGCGGUCAGGUAAGUGAGAUGUGAAAUGCCCCGGCUCACCCGGGGACCGGCAUCUCAUACUGCUUGGCUUGAGUACGGGAGAGGAUGUGGGAAUUCCUGAUGUAGCGGUGAAAUGCGUAGAUAUCAGGAGGAACACCGGUGGCGAAGGCGCACAUCUGGCCCGAUACUGACGCUGAGGCGCGAAAGCGUGGGGAGCGAACAGG